rnacentral:lncRNA from 1 species
GUACACUAAAUUAAAUAGGCAUGGAUUAAAUCGUAUUUAAUUAAAAGCAUGAAAAUAAAAACAGAAUUAGGACUAAAAGAGGAGCGCGCGAAUAACAUGGGGACUAAAGUGGGAAAUAUCCCAAUCCACAAAACGCAGCGCUGCAAUAUGGACCAAAAUGAAAUCAGCAGGAAAUUGUGCGGUCAAAACUAAAUAAACAAAAGGGGCUAUUGAACCAUAGCGCAAAAAGGGAGGACCUGUCGCGCAAAUAACCCUCCCAAUACCAAAACACGCAGAUCUAGCCGCAUCUGGGUCGGGUCAAUGGGUCUUGCUCAAUACAACACCAUUUUGGAGCCAUUGGAACGGGUCUCAAACGGUGCCGUUUUAUGGUCUGUGUAAAGCUUAAAAAAAACACAAAAGCAUUAAGCCAUUUUACAACAGAUUUGUAAACCCUAGCCUCCUUCACGCCGUUCUCAAGGUCGAAUCCCCUCUUCGUCUCCGAUGAAGACCUACAGAAGGGUUCCAACGGUGCGCCCAGGUAAGGUUUCUCCUCGCCUUUUCCUCUUUUUAUUUUAUAAAUAUUCUUAUAUAUAUAUAUGAUUAAAUGAAAAAAAAACGAAAAAGA